rnacentral:rRNA from 1 species
CAUGGUAACUAUGUAAAAGGUGGCUAUGCUACCGCUUUUGGAUGGGCCCGCGGCGCAUUAGCUAGUUGGUGGGGUAAAGGCUUACCAAGGCAAUGAUGCGUAGCCGAACUGAGAGGUUGAUCGGCCACAUUGGGACUGAGACACGGCCCAAACUCCUACGGGAGGCAGCAGUAGGGAAUCUUUCACAAUGGGCGAAAGCCUGAUGGAGCAACGCCGCGUGGGUGAAGAAGGUCUUCGGAUCGUAAAACCCUGUUGUUAGAGAAGAAAGUGCGUGAGAGUAACUGUUCACGUUUCGACGGUAUCUAACCAGAAAGCCACGGCUAACUACGUGCCAGCAGCCGCGGUAAUACGUAGGUGGCAAGCGUUAUCCGGAUUUAUUGGGCGUAAAGGGAACGCAGGCGGUCUUUUAAGUCUGAUGUGAAAGCCUUCGGCUUAACCGGAGUAGUGCAUUGGAAACUGGGAGACUUGAGUGCAGAAGAGGAGAGUGGAACUCCAUGUGUAGCGGUGAAAUGCGUAGAUAUAUGGAAGAACACCAGUGGCGAAAGCGGCUCUCUGGUCUGUAACUGACGCUGAGGUUCGAAAGCGUGGGUAGCAAACAGGAUUAGAUACCCUGGUAGUCCACGCCGUAGACGAU